AUACGGAGGAUGCAAGCGUUAUCCGGAUUUAUUGGGUUUAAAGGGUGCGUAGGCGGUUUGCUAAGCGGGAGGUGAAAUGCCGGCGCUCAACGUCGGAAGUGCCUCCCAAACUGGUGGACUGGAAUGACUCUGCCGUGGGAGGAAUGUGUAGUGUAGCGGUGAAAUGCUUAGAGAUUACACAGAACACCGAUUGCGAAGGCAUCUCACGAAGGGUUGAUUGACGCUGAGGCACGAAAGCGUGGGGAUCAAACAGGAUUAGAUACCCUGGUAGUCCACGCAGUAAACGAUGAUGGCUAACCGCUGGUUUUUUCGGAUCAGUGGCCAAGCGAAAGCGAUAAGCCAUCCACCUGGGGAGUACGACCGCAAGGUUGAAACUCAAAGGAAUUGACGGGG
rnacentral:rRNA from 1 species